rnacentral:rRNA from 1 species
CCCUUAGAUGUUCUGAGCCGCACGCGUGCUACACUGAGUAAUUCAAUGGGUAAGGGAACGCUAGAGCAUUACCUAAUCUUGAAAUUUGCUCGUGAUGGGGAUCGACGGUUGCAAUUUUCCGUCGUGAACGAGGAAUACCUUGUAGGCGCAUGUCAUCAUCAUGCGCCGAAUACGUCCCUGCCCUUUGUACACACCGCCCGUCGCUCCUACCGAUUGAGUGAUCCGGUGAGGCUCUGGGACCUGGACGGAAAGAGCGUUUCGCUUGUUCUGUUUGGGAAACUUGGUCGAACCUUAUCAUUUAGAGGAAGGAGAAGUCGUAACA